UGGGGAAUAUUGGACAAUGGGCGAAAGCCUGAUCCAGCCAUGCCGCGUGUGUGAAGAAGGUCUUCGGAUUGUAAAGCACUUUAAGUUGGGAGGAAGGGCAUUAACCUAAUACGUUAGUGUUUUGACGUUACCGACAGAAUAAGCACCGGCUAACUCUGUGCCAGCAGCCGCGGUAAUACAGAGGGUGCAAGCGUUAAUCGGAAUUACUGGGCGUAAAGCGCGCGUAGGUGGUUUGUUAAGUUGGAUGUGAAAUCCCCGGGCUCGACCUGGGAACUGCAUUCAAAACUGACUGACUAGAGUAUGGUAGAGGGUGGUGGAAUUUCCUGUGUAGCGGUGAAA
rnacentral:rRNA from 1 species